CCGCGUGAGGGAUGACGGCCUUCGGGUUGUAAACCUCUUUCAGCAGGGACGAAGCGCAAGUGACGGUACCUGCAGAAGAAGCACCGGCUAACUACGUGCCAGCAGCCGCGGUAAUACGUAGGGUGCAAGCGUUGUCCGGAAUUACUGGGCGUAAAGAGUUCGUAGGCGGUUUGUCGCGUCGUUUGUGAAAACCAGCAGCUCAACUGCUGGCUUGCAGGCGAUACGGGCAGACUUGAGUACUGCAGGGGAGACUGGAAUUCCUGGUGUAGCGGUGAAAUGCGCAGAUAUCAGGAGGAACACCGGUGGCGAAGG
rnacentral:rRNA from 1 species